GUAGAAAAGAAUGGCAGUUGGGUCCGUAUAAAUUGUAACACUAUCGAGAACAAUAAAACUAAUGGAAUCUACAGAAGAAGAAGGA
rnacentral:sRNA from 1 species